rnacentral:rRNA from 1 species
CACUAGGAGAAGUUUUACUCUUAGCAGUACCUGCCCAGUGCAAAGUUGUAAACGGCCGCCCUAGCGUGAGGGUGCCAAGGUAGCGAAAUUCCUUGCCUUUUAAUUGUAGGCCUGCAUGAAUGGAUUGACGAGGGUCAAACUGUCUCUUGCUUUGUAUGACGAAAUUGGACUGAAGGUGAAGAUACCUUCAUGUAAAAGUUAGACAAGAAGACCCCGUGCAGCUUUUAAAAACUUACUUAUUAAGAGUUAUAAGAUUUUUAGGUGGGGCGCCUAGGAAGUAAAACUUAACCUUCUUAUUUGUUAAAAGUAACUGUCUGGUGUAGACCCGGCAAGUCCGAUCAUGGGAGAAGUUACGCCGGGGAUAACAGGCUUAUCCAUUAGUAGAGCUCGUAUUGGCUAAUGGGAUUGGCACCUCGAUGUUGAAUUAAGGAUGAUAACUCUAAGGCGUAGAGGCUUUGGAAGUGGGUCUGUUCGACCUUUAAUACCUU